AGGACGAACGCUGGCGGCGUGCUUAACACAUGCAAGUCGAGCGGAAAGGCCUUUCGGGGUACUCGAGCGGCGAACGGGUGAGUAACACGUGAGUAAUCUGCCCAUCGCUUCAGGAUAGCCAUCGGAAACGGUGAUUAAUACUGGAUAUGACAUUCCUUCGCAUGUUGGGGUGUGGAAAGUUUUUUCGGCGGUUGGAUGUGCUCGCGGCCUAUCAGCUUGUUGGUGGGGUAAUGGCCUACCAAGGCUUUGACGGGUAGCCGGCCUGAGAGGGUGACCGG
rnacentral:rRNA from 1 species